rnacentral:rRNA from 1 species
AUUGAACGCUGGCGGCAUGCCUUACACAUGCAAGUCGAACGGCAGCACGGGAGCAAUCCUGGUGGCGAGUGGCGAACGGGUGAGUAAUAUAUCGGAACAUGCCCAGUCGUGGGGGAUAACGUAGCGAAAGCUACGCUAAUACCGCAUACGAACUACGGAUGAAAGCGGGGGAUCGCAAGACCUCGCGCGAUUGGAGCGGCCGAUAUCAGAUGAGCUAGUUGGUGAGGUAAAGGCUCACCAAGGCGACGAUCUGUAGUUGGUCUGAGAGGACGACCAGCCACACUGGAACUGAGACACGGUCCAGACUCCUACGGGAGGCAGCAGUGGGGAAUUUUGGACAAUGGGCGCAAGCCUGAUCCAGCAAUGCCGCGUGCAGGAUGAAGGCCUUCGGGUUGUAAACUGUUUUUGUACAGAACGAAACGGCUCUUUCUAAUACAAGGGGCUAAUGACGGUACUGUAAGAAUAAGCACCGGCUAACUACGUGCCAGCCGCCGCCGUAA